CUUGCGGCCACAUCACUUUGAAACUCCGGUUCCUGUACGAUCAUCGAAGGUAAGCAAUGUCGAGCCUGGUCAGUACCUAGAUGGGUGACCGCUUGGGAACAACAGGUGCUGUAAG